AGAGGUUAGUGUCCUGUAAGACGUCCUCCAUGUUGUUCAGGUAGAGAAGAGGUUAGUGUCCUCCAUGUUGUUCAGGUAGAGAAGAGGUUAGUGUCCUCCAUGUUGUUCAGGAAGAGAAGAGGUUAGUGUCCUCCAUGUUGUUCAGGAAGAGAAGAGGUUAGUGUCCUGUAAGACGUCCUCCAUGUUGUUCAGGUAGAGAAGAGGUUAGUGUCCUCCAUGUUGUUCAGGUAGAGAAGAGGUUAGUGUCCUCCAUGUUGUUCAGGUAGAGAAGAGGUUAGUGUCCUCCAUGUUGUUCAGGAAGAGAAGAGGUUAGUGUCCUCCAUGUUGUUCAGGAAGAGAAGAGGUUAGUGUCCUGUAAGACGUCCUCCAUGUUGUUCAGGUAGAGAAGAGGUUAGUGUCCUCCAUGUUGUUCAGGUAGAGAAGAGGUUAGUGUCCUCCAUGUUGUUCAGGAAGAGAAGAGGUUAGUGUCCUCCAUGUUGUUCAGGAAGAGAAGAGGUUAGUGUCCUCCAUGUUGUUCAGGAAGAGAAGAGGUUAGUGUCCUCCAUGUUGUUCAGGAAGAGAAGAGGUUAGUGUCCUCCAUGUUGUUCAGGAAGAGAAGAGGUUAGUGUCCUCCAUGUUGUUCAGGAAGAGAAGAGGUUAGUGUCCUCCAUGUUGUUCAGGUAGAGAAGAGGUUAGUGUCCUCCAUGUUGUUCAGGAAGAGAAGAGGUUAGUGUCCUCCAUGUUGUUCAGGAAGAGAAGAGGUUAGUGUCCUCCAUGUUGUUCAGGAAGAGAAGAGGUUAGUGUCCUCCAUGUUGUUCAGGAAGAGAAGAGGUUAGUGUCCUCCAUGUUGUUCAGGAAGAGAAGAGGUUAGUGUCCUCCAUGUUGUUCAGGAAGAGAAGAGGUUAGUGUCCUCUAUGUUGUUCAGGAAGAGAAGAGGGGGGUCGGGGCAGAGACGGUGUGUGUGUGUGUGUGUGUGUGGAAGAAGGGCCAAGAGGAUGUGUGUGUUGUGAGGCUGUGGUCAGAGUUUAUUUGUACAGUCCACUCAGAGCUCUUCUGGCCUGUAGCAUUAAUGUGAUCCUGUCCAGUAAUAAUCAUUUAUUCCCCUGACUGUAAGAACCAUUAGAGAGGACACGACACGACACACACAGCACACUACACACACAACACACUACACACACAGCACACUACACACACACAGCUUUGGCCAC